GAUGAACGCUGGCGGCGUGCCUAAUACAUGCAAGUCGAGCGAACAGACGAGGAGCUUGCUCCUCUGACCUUAGCGGCGGACGGGUGAGUAACACGUGGAUAACCUACCUAUAAGACUGGGAUAACUUCGGGAAACCGGAGCUAAUACCGGAUAAUAUAUUGAACCGCAUGGUUCAAUAGUGAAAGACGGUUUUGCUGUCACUUAUAGAUGGAUCCGCGCCGCAUUAGCUAGUUGGUAAGGUAACAGCUUACCAAGGCAACGAUGCGUAGCCGACCUGAGAGGGUGAUCGGCCACACUGGAACUGAGACACGGUCCAGACUCCUACGGGAGGCAGCAGUAGGGAAUCUUCCGCAAUGGGCGAAAGCCUGACGGAGCAACGCCGCGUGAGUGAUGAAGGUCUUCGGAUCGUAAAACUCUGUUAUUAGGGAAGAACAAAUGUGUAAGUAACUAUGCACGUCUUGACGGUACCUAAUCAGAAAGCCACGGCUAACUACGUG
rnacentral:rRNA from 1 species